rnacentral:rRNA from 1 species
UACAGAGGGUGCAAGCGUUGUUCGGAAUUACUGGGCGUAAAGCGCGUGUAGGCGGUUGUUCAAGUCUUGUGUGAAAGCCCUGGGCUCAACCCAGGAAGUGCGCAAGAUACUGGAUAGCUGGAGUGUCGGAGAGGAGGGCGGAAUACCCGGUGUAGAGGUGAAAUUCGUAGAUAUCGGGUGGAACACCUGUGGCGAAGGCGGCCCUCUGGACGAUAACUGACGCUGAGACGCGAAAGCAUGGGGAGCAAACAGG